GUGUUGUAUGAACUGAGAGAAGGUUAGCACUCCCCUUUACAAGGAUGGAAGAGACUCUCAGGCUAACAACACACAUAUGGUUAAGGCACUGCCACCUACUUCGAGGCAUCUAACCACCUUUUUUC
ensembl:snRNA